rnacentral:misc_RNA from 1 species
CCGCGCAUCUCUCACACCAUUGGAUUGCGCUAAAGAUGCCUGGAUCGACAACUAACCCUUCGCAUAUCCAGUCACGUGAUGCUAUCAAACGCCGCCGCUUCCAUGUGAUAGUAGCUGGGUCGAGCCAUGAGGAAGGAGGUAGCGAUAGGUGAGCCAAGAAAAGCAAGCAACAAAGUGCAACAUCGAUUGUGAGCACGAGGUGGCUGAAAUACGGGGGAGGGGUAAAUGGUGCAGUUCAGGGUCCUUGUCUUGUGUUUAGACGAUUAUAGGGUCUCCUCUUUUUUUUCACGCUGCCUCGUGUCUUGACCUAACCCACAGUAUUUGUUGUGUUAGUCCCAAAACCUAAACUCGCCUUAUCUGAACUCAUCUCUCAACUCUGUAUAGCUUCUGGGGUCUCUGUUGACAGUCUCUUUUUUCACGAGCACACAAUCAAGCUUAGAGUAAUGCACAUUCAACAUGAAUCCAGCAGGUUUCACGACGUGCGAGCUUUAAUCUGGGCGUGCAAACGAGUAUUGCAACCUCACAAUGUUCCUAUUUUGGUUUAAUUCUGGGGUUACACAAGCCAUCCAUGCUCACUGCCUACGAGUGAUGUAUUCAAUGUUACCUGGGUGAACACUACAGCUUGUGUCACUGGAACAAUUAACAACGAAAUAACAUGAAUGAGCUUCUGACUGCGUUAUCACCCCGGACGAAAUGCACCAUCGCUAAAGAUAGACACAUGGAGACCCGUUUUGGGACGGCUAGAACCGCCAGACGCAUGUGACAAGGCCCAUCUAGUCUGAUUCAGGGCUUGAUUCACAAUGAGAGACACCCAACGACUCACGGUGGCGACUUCCACGCAACCCAAUUGUGCAUGUCAUGACGAUACAUCACUCUCUCUCUGCGGUAACGCAUGUGAUUG